rnacentral:rRNA from 1 species
UACAGAGGGUGCGAGCGUUAAUCGGAAUUACUGGGCGUAAAGCGUGCGUAGACGGUUAUUUAAGUCGGGUGUGAAAGCCCCGGGCUCAACCUGGGAAUUGCAUUCGAGACUGAAUAGCUAGGGUACGGUAGAGGGAAGCGGAAUUUCCGGUGUAGCGGUGAAAUGCGUAGAGAUCGGAAAGAACACCAACGGCGAAAGCACUCUGCUGGGCCGACACUGACACUGAGAGACGAAAGCUAGGGGAGCGAAUGGG